UACGUAGGGUGCGAGCGUUAAUCGGAAUUACUGGGCGUAAAGUGUGCGCAGGCGGCCGAGCAAGUCGAGUGUGAAAGCCCCGAGCUUAACUUGGGAACUGCGCUCGAAACUACUUGGCUAGAGUGUGGCAGAGGGAGGUGGAAUUCCACGUGUAGCGGUGAAAUGCGUAGAGAUGUGGAGGAACACCGAUGGCGAAGGCAGCCUCCUGGGCCAACACUGACGCUCAUGCACGAAAGCAUGGGGAGCAAACAGG
rnacentral:rRNA from 1 species